rnacentral:lncRNA from 1 species
GGCGCCCGUGACAACGGCCCACGCGGGCACCACGACAGCGACGACGAUCAAAUCAUCGACAACGACGACGAAGAAGAAGAAGGAGGAGGAGAAAAGGAGGAGAAAAAUGAGAAUAUGAAGAAGAAGCAGGAGAGGAAGAGGAAGAGGAAGAAGGGUAAAAAUGUUACUUUACCUUAUUAACUAAUCAUGGUUAAGUAUUUUAACAGUGGUUAACUAGAUUUUUCUAACGGAUAUUAACGCAGGAACAUAUCUGAAUACAUUAGGGCUUUUGCAGGCAUAACUUAUGAAAGUUGAACUUUGCAGAAAUAUAUCUGCUAUUGACAAUGUUUGCAGAAACUUGUAUGAAAUUAACCCUUAUUAAUAGUAGUGUAGGCAGCCUAUUAUGACUAAUCGAUUCCGUAAAAAUAAAUAAAAUUAAAGAAUAAACAGCAACAAUUGUAAUAAAAAAAUGUAAGAACAAAAAUAUAUAAAAAAAUUAUAAAAAUAAUAAAUUAUAUUAUAACAGCAGUAAAAGUUGAGAAUUAAAAUAUUAUAUAGCUUAUAAUUCAAGCAAAAACUUAUAACUAAUUAAAAUUUGAAGACUAAAAAUAUCAUAUGCCUUAUAAUUUUAGCAAGAAAAUAUAACUUAUUAAAAUUCGAGAACUAAAGUGUCAUGCGUCUUAUAGUUUGAGGACCAAAAGUGUAAUUUACUCUUUUAUAUUUUAAUUUUAUUCCACAUGAAGACAGAGUUGAGCAUCACUCGGUUUUUGUUCAAUUAGUAAUUUUAUUCUAGAAAAGAAUAUGUUAAACUAUCUAAUAAAUUUUAAAAUGCCUAAUUAUUAAAAUUAAAAGUCUAACAAUUAUAUUUUGGAUAUUCUAAAAUAUUUUAAAUGUGAAAUUGAUCGUUCAUCAAACUAUAAAUAUAGACUAUAAAUAUGGUAUUGAAGUUUGAUAUUAAAUCAAAGUAAAAAAAAUACAGAACUUUUCUAAAUUAUGAACGAUUUUAAAUUAGCUAUCCAACUUUUCAAAAUUUUAUUUUUACUAUCCAACCUUUUUAU